ACAAAUGGAGGCCGCAGUGACGCCUCCAUCGACACCCGACCUCUUUGAGGUCGAUGUCGGAAACCUCGCUGAGAGCCGAGCGCAUCUUCACCGGCGCUGACAGUCUGCGAAGACCCCAGUAGAUGGCAACAUCCCUCCGGCUUUUCCGCGGCUCUUAUUUAUUUAUUUACUCAUUUUUAAUUAUCUAUUUGGCUAAGCAGCACGUACAACCGUCUUGGGAAGAAAAGAGCAGUGUUUCUCCAGGCCCGGCGCUCCGAGAGGGGUCCGGCGGGACGCGGCGGGACAGGGGGAGGGAACGAGCGCUACCCGGAGGGCGUUCUUCAUUAGCGCUCUUACAUAAGGAGGUGCGAGACCACCGAUAGACCGGCGCAAACCCAGCUCUGCUCACAAAGAACCGAGCCCAGUGCGCGUUUGACGCCGGCGCCGCAUGUGCCAACGACGCGAACCAUCAAGCAGAACGUUUUUUCUCCCCCCCCAGCUUCCCGCCACCAGUCCGACGGGAUUCUGCUGCCGAUUUGGUGCGGGCCCCACCACCGCACCGCCUGUCACAUCAAAAAGACUCUGGGGGAUCCGGCAAGGGGACGGGACCAACGUCGAGACACCUCUUGGCCCGGGCAUAUUUGCCGGGGCACGUGUCCGUGGCCGAGACAGAAUUGAAAGAAGGCAGAGGACUGGGGUGACGGUCGCCCAGCCAGCUCACGAAGACCCCAACAGCCACCUGCCUACGAGCCAUCGCACAGAAAAGCUUCACGAUGCUUAAGCAUUCUUUUUGUUUUUUGCGAGAGCCCGGCUCCUGCCAGCCCGGCUGCCAUCGCAGCGGCUCAGUCGCUAAGUCUGGGGGGCCAACUGGUGGCCGUGGGGCUGCGAUGUUUCAACAUUCACCCGUCUUCUGCUUCGCUGCCCCUCUGUGAGGCGCUACUACAAAAGGGCCGUAAUCCGGAGACAAUGCGGGGCUGCCGUCGCCACCCUUUGAUGACAUAUUGGGCGCCGGCGAUGAAAGAGCGGAGUGGUUCUCGCCAGCCAAAGCCAAAGCCCCCUAUGCCUUACAAAGUUCCAAGUUUUUGUAAUGCAGAUUCCCUUGUCGGCGUUCACUUAUUCAAAAUAAGUAAUUUGAGAAAGGAGGCAUAUGCCAGAAAUAGAAAUAUUUGCAUACAUUUUAGAACCCAUGUGAAAUGCUAAUGGUCUGAGAUUGUGCCAUAAACUGUGUUUUCACAGGAAGUGUAUGCGGCUGUCCCCAAGUUGGCCCGGUGCCGCCGCGCAGUUAUGACACUGCAGUUCCGGAGGUUCACUGUACCGGUUGAGACUCGGUGGCGCCACAGUAUUCAUAAGCCACCGAAAGCAAGGGGUGCGGCGACGAUGUCGCUAAUGCUCCGAACAUCUCUAUGAGUAGCUCAGAAUGAGGAAAUAAGCUGCAAUUCUAAGUUUGACCUUUAACAAUUUUCAGUUUUUGAUGUUGUCACCCAUAUGUGGAUGGGUAUAGCUACCCCUAUUGUUCACGGCUCUGUAGCUUCGUACACUAGGCUGCCAGAGUAACUGGAACUGGAAACUGAAUUGAGUUUUAAUGCUGCUCAAAAUCCUUGAGGGUCUAAUAAAGGCUACACUCCUGUUGAAAUGAAGGCCAGUCUCUCAUAUAUAUAUAUAACACCUGAACAUGCACACUAGAGGCGAGGACUUGCCGUCAUUUGGCUGGCGGAAACUUUACAGACUCCUCGUUCCCGAUUCGCAUUUUUUCCCUCCAAAAAUCGUGGGGAACUUGCUAUCUGAUGAUAAUAACAGUGUCAGGCGUCCACUGAUUUGCCUCGGCCCCUGGUCGCGAGUUCACUUCGGGAGCGACUGCGUUUAAUUGGUGACCACGGCAAUGCCCUCUUAGCUCCCGUAGCCGUGCUGCUCCUCCGACACAGGAACCCAGUUAAAAGCAGCGUCUCAUCGAUUUACAGUCAACUGCCAACACUGCCGCAAAAACAGAAUAGUUUUCCAAACGAAAAAAAAAAAGAAAACCACAUUGACAAUAAAACAUCAAACACGGUUGAAAAUUUGUCUACAAUUUUCCUUUCUGCCUUUGAUUAAUCCCUGG